rnacentral:tRNA from 1 species
GCGGACGUGGUGGAAUGGUAGACACGCAGGUCUUAGGAACCUGUCCAGUGAUGGGUGAGAGUUCGAGUCUCUCCGUCCGCA